GUGUGCGAGAUUGUCUAGCAGCGACAAGUGCCAUCCGCCGGCGACGAUAACCAACGGCCACGUGAUCUUGCUCGUGGUGCGCAAGAUAGCGUUGGCAAAGGAGGGGUCGGCAGACGUCCAGGCCGCCGAGCCCACGACGACGCCGGUGCCCAACAGGGUCGCCGCUCCGGCCGCGAGCCCGCCCAGUGUCCACAUUCUGUAUCGCACAACGACACCAAGAAAACCCCAACGGCAUGCAUGAGUUGAAGCGGCACCAUACACAUGCGCAUUGCGACAGCAAUAAUUCCAAUAAAAAAGUGUGCUUGUGCCCUG
rnacentral:lncRNA from 1 species